UGUAUCGUGAGAUACAGACGAGAAGAAGGGAUAGCAAAAUUGUAGCCUGACGAACAGAAACCUAAUACCAAGGCUUACAUGGUGGAUAAGCGGGCUGAAAGUCGUGAAGUCCAAAAGGCAAUCGUAACCCAUGAAAGUAAAUUAGGCAGGUAGACAAGGAAAGAUUGAUGGC
rnacentral:ncRNA from 1 species